AUUCUUUCUAUUGGUUUCUGAUUUGUACUAUCUUCAUGUGUUUCUCUUUUCCUUUAGAUUCUAUAUUAUAUUGAAUUGCUUGCUCCUGAAAUAACUUAAUGGUUUUUAACAUUUUAUGUCGAUGACUUCAUUUUGAAAUCAUUUGAUUGUUUCUUCCGAUUGUCAAAGCCUGAUCAUGUAUUUGUUGUGUUGUCUAACUUUAUUUGGCUGAUUUAAUGAUUCAUGUAUAUAUCCGACACAGAUAUGUUCUAUCUUUUUAUAGUGUUUCCAUGUAUUUUGAGGAUCUUAAGAGGGCCAUAUUCCUGUACCCAUGUCCAAAUGUGUUUUGGAAACGGUCACUUCA